CGUUACAACAUCUUCAACCUUUCAAGCACAUCGAUUCAGGGGAAUUACAUCACAUAUGAGCAUGGCAAGAAAGCCAUGCUAAAUCCAUCUUAACAAAAUAUUUUUGUUAUUACAAUUUCCACAUGUUGCUGAAGAUGAAUUGGCUAAAGCUAUGUAACAUGACGUGAUUCAAUCACUUACAAAAUGCACGUUAGGAUGUCAUAUGGGUACUUAUUAGCAUGCUAGCCUCCUAAGAUCCCAGUCUUUCUUUUAUGCUCUUAAGUGGAACAAAAAGACAUAUUGGUUCAAUAUAAGACCAUUAGGCCUAUAAGACUACUACUAUACAUAUAAUAGUGAAGUGACCCGUUUUAAAAAUUAGGCUUAUUCAAAUACGAUACAUUUGUAUCAUGACUACAUCAGCAAGAAAUAGACAAACUAUAUUUGCACAUAAAAAUAUUUUUAAGAAAAAAUAUAAAAACAAAAAUAACUAGAUUAAAUUUUAGAAGACCACAGGUUUUGAGGCACGUGUAACACAAAACCUCAGAUAUUACGAUUUGUUUCAAGGAAACCCAGGUUUUGAGGUAUAGCAUUUCAAGAAACCCCAUGUUUAUAUCACAUACUGAUAAUUCUAUUAUUAUAUAUAAUAUUUUUAGUAUAUGUUUGCAUUGGUAUGCUCAAAAUACAUAACCAUCCCGUGUACUUCAUAUUUUUCCUUACUUUUGCAUUGUACGAUUGAAUAAACACAACCAUACUAAUAAUGACAUAUUAACCGGUUUACUUAUAUAGAUAAACAUUAAUCAUAUUACCAUAAUAAUGCUUGUAAAAAUGAGGCAAACAUGCAUAUAUAUACUCACUAAUAUCUCGUUAUUUUUUUGCAAUUAAUAUGCAUAAAUAUAUUAGACAAAUAACAAUAUAAGCUUAAACAUGAGAUUUCGUGGAACAUUUUUCCCCAAAACCUAGGGUUCUUCAUCACAAAUUGUAAUGCAUGAUGUUUUGUGUUAUAAGUGUCGCAAAACCUGGGGUUUUUGUGAAAUUUACUCAAAUAACUACAUUUUUGGCUAUCAUAGAAGAUCCAAUGGACCCGUAUUGCAUUGCGUUGGAUGCACCGUCACCAAGAUCUUGUUUCAUAGGAACAAACAAAAAAAUAGAACGAUAUUUUUCAUUGAGACCACCUUCCCCAAGACAAAAGAGAGAA
rnacentral:lncRNA from 1 species